CAGGUAGGCGGUCUAGCAAGUCGGGUGUGAAAGCCCUGGGCUCAACCCAGGAAGUGCAUCCGAAACUGCGUGACUUGAGUACUGGAGAGGGUGGUGGAAUUCCUGGUGUAGAGGUGAAAUUCGUAGAUAUCAGGAGGAACACCCGAGGCGAAGGCGACCACCUGGACAGAUACUGACGCUGAGCUGCGAAAGCGUGGGGAGCAAACA
rnacentral:rRNA from 1 species